GGACCGGUAGCUCAAUCGGUUGGGGCACCGCCCUGUCAAGGCGGAGGCUGCGGGUUCGAGUCCCGUCCGGUCCG
rnacentral:tRNA from 1 species